rnacentral:rRNA from 1 species
GUGAGGAAUAUUGGUCAAUGGACGGAAGUCUGAACCAGCCAUGCCGCGUGCAGGAAUACGGUCCUAUGGAUUGUAAACUGCUUUUAUUCGGGAAUAAACCUCUUUACGUGUAGGGAGCUGAAGGUACCGAAGGAAUAAGCACCGGCUAACUCCGUGCCAGCAGCCGCGGUAAUACGGAGGGUGCAAGCGUUAUCCGGAAUCAUUGGGUUUAAAGGGUCCGCAGGCGGGCUAUCAAGUCAGAGGUGAAAUCCCACAGCUUAACUGUGGAACUGCCUUUGAAACUGAUGGUCUUGAAUUAAGUGGGCGUUGGCGGAAUAUGACAUGUAGCGGUGAAAUGCAUAGAUAUGUCAUGGAAUACCGAAAGCGAAGGCAGCUAACGAUACUUAUAUUGACGCUCAUGGACGAAAGCGUGGGUAGCGAACAGGAUUAGAAACCCCGGUAGUCC